AUUGAACGCUGGCGGCAUGCCUUACACAUACAAGUCGAACGGCAGCACGGGAGCAAUCCUGGUGGCGAGUGGCGAACGGGUGAGUAAUAUAUCGGAACGUGCCCAGUCGUGGGGGAUAACGUAGCGAAAGCUACGCUAAUACCGCAUACGAUCUAUGGAUGAAAGCGGGGGAUCGCAAGACCUCGCGCGAUUGGAGCGGCCGAUAUCAGAUUAGGUAGUUGGUGAGGUAAAGGCUCACCAAGCCGACGAUCUGUAGCUGGUCUGAGAGGACGACCAGCCACACUGGGACUGAGACACGGCCCAGACUCCUACGGGAGGCAGCAGUGGGGAA
rnacentral:rRNA from 1 species